rnacentral:tRNA from 1 species
GCGGGGGUACCCCAGCCAGGUCAACGGGGCCAGAAUGUGUUUAUUGGACAUCCAGUCGAUAAUCAUAUGACUUAGACUCAAGAUCUGCUCGCAUAGGCGUUCGUGAGUUCAAAUCUCACCCCCCGCA